GAUGAACGCUGGCGGCGUGCCUAAUACAUGCAAGUCGAGCGAACAGAUAAGGAUCUUGCUCCUUUUACGUUAGCGGCGGAAGGGUGAGUAACACGUGGGUAACCUACCUAUAAGACUGGGAUAACUUCGGGAAACCGGAGCUAAUACCGGAUAACAUUUGGAACCGCAUGGUUCUAAAGUGAAAGAUGGUUUUGCUAUCACUUAUAGAUGGACCCGCGCCGUAUUAGCUAGUUGGUAAGGUAACGGCUUACCAAGGCGACGAUACGUAGCCGACCUGGGAGGGUGAUCGGCCACACUGGAACUGAGACACGGUCCAGACUCCUACGGGAGGCAGCAGUAGGGAAUCUUCCGCAAUGGGCGAAAGCCUGACGGAGCAACGCCGCGUGAGUGAUGAAGGGUUUCGGCUCGUAAAACUCUGUUAUUAGGGAAGAACAACUGUGUAAGUAACUGUGCACGUCUUGACGGUACCUAAUCAGAAAGCCACGGCUAACUACGUG
rnacentral:rRNA from 1 species